rnacentral:rRNA from 1 species
CAGCAGCCACGGGAAUACGGAGGGGGCUAGCGUUGUUCGGAAUUACUGGGCGUAAAGCGUACGUAGGCGGCUUUGUAAGUUAGAGGUGAAAGCCCGGAGCUCAACUCCGGAAUUGCCUUUAAGACUGCAUCGCUUGAAUCGUGGAGAGGUGAGUGGAAUUCCGAGUGUAGAGGUGAAAUUCGUAGAUAUUCGGAAGAACACCAGUGGCGAAGGCGGCUCACUGGACACGUAUUGACGCUGAGGUACGAAAGCGUGGGGAGCAAACAGGAUUAGAUACCCGCGUAGUCCCUGUCUCUUAUAC